rfam:Camelus ferus unplaced genomic scaffold scaffold832, whole genome shotgun sequence.
GAGGGUAGAGCUCAGUCGUAGAGCACAUGCUUAGCAUGGAGGAGGUCCUGGGUUCAAUCCCCAGUACUGCCA